rnacentral:rRNA from 1 species
UACGUAGGGAGCAAGCGUUGUCCGGAUUUACUGGGUGUAAAGGGUGCGUAGGCGGCAAAGCAAGUCAGGUGUGAAAUGUAUGGGCUUAACCCAUGAACUGCACUUGAAACUGUUUAGCUUGAGUGAAGUAGAGGCAGGCGGAAUUCCCGGUGUAGCGGUGAAAUGCGUAGAGAUCGGGAGGAACACCAGUGGCGAAGGCGGCCUGCUGGGCUUUAACUGACGCUGAGGCACGAAAGCAUUGGUAGCAAACAGGAUUAGAUACCCUGGUAGUCCAUGCUGUAAACGAUGAUUACUAGGUGUGGGUGGACUGACCCCAUCCGUGCCGGAGUUAACACAAUAAGUAAUCCACCUGGGAAGUACGACCGCAAGGUUGAA